GAUGAAGAACGCAGUGAAAUGCGAUACGUAAUGUGAAUUGCAGAAUUCAGUGAAUCAUCGAAUCUUUGAACGCACAUUGCACUCUCUGGUAUUCCGGAGAGUAUGCUUGUUUGAGUAUCAGUAAACACCUCAAAUCUCUUGUUUCUUGUGAAUAAGAGAAUUGGACUUGAGCAAUCCCAACUCUUGCAAAAGAGGCGGGUUGCUUGAAAUGCAGGUGCAGCUGGACAUUCUUCUGAGCUAAAAGCAUAUUUAUUUAGUCCCGUAAAACGGAUUAUUACUUUUGCUGCAGCUAACAUAAAGGUUGAAUGGCCAAUAUGGCUGACUGAUGCAGGAUUAACAGAGAAUUUAUUCUUUGUAAACUCGAUCUCAAAUCAAGUAAGACUACCCGCUGAACUUAAGCAUAUCAAUAAGCGGAGGA
rnacentral:misc_RNA from 1 species